rnacentral:rRNA from 1 species
AGUGGGGAAUAUUGCGCAAUGGGGGAAACCCUGACGCAGCAACGCCGCGUGAAUGAAGAAGGCUUUCGGGUCGUAAAAUUCUGUCCUUAGGGAAGAAGAAAGUGACGGUACCUAAGGAGGAAGCCCCGGCUAACUACGUGCCAGCAGCCGCGGUAAUACGUAGGGGGCGAGCGUUGUCCGGAAUCACUGGGCGUAAAGGGCGCGUAGGCGGUAUAUUAAGUCAGGUGUGAAAGUUUUCGGCUCAACCGGAAAAGUGCACUUGAAACUAAUAAACUUGAGUACUGGAGAGGUAAGCGGAAUUCCUAGUGUAGCGGUGAAAUGCGUAGAUAUUAGGAGGAACACCGGUGGCGAAGGCGGCUUACUGGACAGAGACUGACGCUGAGGCGCGAAAGCGUGGGGAGCAAACAGGAUUAGAUACCCUGGUAGUCCACGCCGUAAACGAUGAGUAUUAGGUGUUGGUGAGAAUCAGUGCCGGAGUUAACACAAUAAAUACUCCGCCUGGGGAGUACGGUCGCAAGACUGAAACUCAAAGGAAUUGACGGGACCCCGCACAAGUAGCGGAGCAUGUGGUUUAAUUCGAAGCAACGCGAAGAACCUUACCAGGUCUUGACAUCCUCUGACAGCGUUAGAGAUAGCGCAUUCCUUUCGGGGACAGAGAGACAGGUGGUGCAUGGUUGUCGUCAGCUCGUGUCGUGAGAUGUUGGGUUAAGUCCCGCAACGAGCGCAACCCUUGUGUUUAGUUGCCAGCAUGAAAGAUGGGCACUCUAGACAGACUGCCGUAGAUAAUACGGAGGAAGGUGGGGAUGACGUCAAAUCAUCAUGCCCCUUAUGACCUGGGCUACACACGUGCUACAAUGGGAUGAACAGAGGGUAGCGAAGUAGUGAUACGAAGCCAAUCUCAAAAAUCAUCUCCCAGUUCGGAUUGCAGGCUGCAACUCGCCUGCAUGAAGUCGGAGUUACUAGUAAUCGCAAAUCAGAAUGUUGCGGUGAAUGCGUUCCCGGGGUUUGUACACACCGCCCGUCACACCACGAAAGUCGGCAACACCCGAAGUCAGUGAGCUAACCAAUAUGGAGGCAGCUGCCUAAGGUGGGGUUGAUGAUUGGGGUG